UACAGAGGUCUCAAGCGUUGUUCGGAUUCAUUGGGCGUAAAGGGUGCGUAGGCGGCGCGGUAAGUCGGGUGUGAAAGCCCUGGGCUCAACUCAGGAAUGGCAUUGGAAACUGGCGGGCUGGAGUACCGGAGAGGGAAGCGGAAUUCCUGGUGUAGCGGUGAAAUGCGUAGAUACCAGGAGGAACACCGGUGGCGAAGGCGGCUUCCUGGCCGGAUACUGACGCUGAGGCACGAAAGCGUGGGGAGCAAACGGG
rnacentral:rRNA from 1 species